UAUAAUAUAUAUCUAAUUCUAGAUUUUCAAUGUUAUUUAUUAUCUUGUGUUGUUCUUCUCGUAGUGAGUUUUUUAAAUUAUAUAAACUAUCACAUGUAUUUUUAUCUAAAUUUUCUAAGGUUUUUUCUAUCCAUGCUAAUUUUUCUUUUAGGUCUUCUAUUAUUUUUCUAAUUCGGUUUCUAUAAUUAAUUUCAUUAUUUAGAUUUUCUUGAUUUUCUCUAGUUUGUCUAAUAUAUUCUAACAUAUCUUAAUCUGAAUAAUAUCCUUCUGGGUAAAUUUCUUCGUAUAACUGUUCUAAGUAAUUUAUAGUUUCAAUUUCGUAAUCUAUUACUUUUCCUAAUAUUAUUUUCUUA
rnacentral:lncRNA from 1 species